rnacentral:rRNA from 1 species
UUUUAUGGAGAGUUUGAUCCUGGCUCAGAGUGAACGCUGGCGGCGUGCCUAAUACAUGCAAGUCGAACGAUGAAGCUUCUAGCUUGCUAGAAGUGGAUUAGUGGCGCACGGGUGAGUAAGGUAUAGUUAAUCUGCCCUACACAAGAGGACAACAGUUGGAAACGACUGCUAAUACUCUAUACUCCUGCUUAACACAAGUUGAGUAGGGAAAGUUUUUCGGUGUAGGAUGAGACUAUAUAGUAUCAGCUAGUUGGUAAGGUAAUGGCUUACCAAGGCUAUGACGCUUAACUGGUCUGAGAGGAUGAUCAGUC